GGCUGCGUGAAGCGCUUGGACUACACCUCCCGGCGUGCCCUGCGGCCUUCUUUUCUGCAACCCCCCACCCCCUUUUCGCUCAGAUCUCGGCUCUCACUAUGCAGUUCAGGCUGGCCUUGAACUCGCUAUGUAGCCCAGGCUGACUUGGAACUCCGAAGUGUUACAGGUAAGUGCCACCACGCCCAGCUACUUUUUUAAAAAAAUUAUUAUAGUAAAAGACACAUUGCCAUUAAUCCCCUCAAAAUACUCCCACUCAAGUCGAAAACAUUUAGCCUAUCAUUCCUGCCACUUUCUGAACCAGUUUUGGAAAUCCUCUUUUGUGUCUUUACAAGGUAUGAUCAAAAGUACAGCAAAUGGGGCCAGGGAUUUAGCUCAGCAGCAUAAGCACCUGCCUGGCAAGUGUGAGGUCGUAAGUUCGAUCUCCGGUACUACAAAAAAAAAAAAAAAAAAAAAAAAGUUAAAAAAGAAAACUACAGCAAAUGCUGCUGUCAUCCAAUGGGAAACUGGGUUCAUACAAACAUUAAUGGUGUGUCUUCCUCAACCUUAUUCACCAGGCCUGGUAUCAUGUGACUUGUGCCUUAUCCCCAAAAUCACAAUGACCAUGACAGGUAAACAUCUGGGACAACCCACUCAGGACCCCUUCGGAUUCAAACAAAAGCUUUCUUUUGCUAAUAAAUAUAUUCUCUUUAAAAAGGGGGCGGGGUACAGGGGCUGGGGAUUUAGCUCAGCAGCAUAAGCACUUGCCUUGCAAGUAGGCAGUCGUGAGUCGGAUCCCCAAUACCGAUAAAAAAAUAAAUAUAAAAAAGGGGGGUACCAGUAAAAUUAAAAAAGAAGCAAAUGCAUAAAUAAUGUCCAAGUGGAUUCAGGACACUGAGGCAGCCAUGACACACAAAACCAGAGCUGCUUCAGAAAGUGGCAGCAAUAAUGGGAUAAGUGAGAGGGCUUAAUGGCAAUGCAUCUUUUAUUGCAAUCCUUUUUAAUUUAAUCACUGGAUUUUUCUAUCACACCUCAUACAUAUCAGAGCCAGGAUUCACACUAAACCAGCCCAACUUUUCACAUAGCACACACUUCGUCAUCUUGCUGUUUUGCCUCGUUGGGGCCCUAGAAUCAGUUAAGCAGCCCUUAUUUCUUCAUCGUCCAUCUGCCAUCUAUCUUUCUAAUCUCAGAGGUUGCCUUUCUUUGGCCCAUUUCAAUUGUAAUGCGCCCUAAAAUCCCUUCAUGUGUUAGGUUCACCAAAGACAAGAAAACAGGGUCACUGACUAAAGGUCCUUGGUCUAACGGGAUCAUAGGGGUGGAAAGUUUAAGUGUACACAUGAUUAAGACCUACAUUAAAUCCUUUUGAAGAAGGAAGCAGCAACAAACGCUGAGAGGGCAGACUUAGGAGACAAGCAGUGGCUUGGGGAAUGAUGGGUAGAAUUGAUAGCAUAACGGGGGGAGAGAUUUAAAAUGUGUUUAGGAAGUUACAUGUGUUCAGUUAGGAUAUGGCCCGCAUUCCAGCAGAGCAGAAGCAGAAGACAAAACCAGAAAUGUGGGCUGGGUGAAUCCCAAGCCAUAGCAAAAGUACCUCUUGCAACAAUCAGAAGUCAGCAGAACUCUGACUUGAGCUCAGCUGCUGGCUUUCCCCAGCUCAGCGAGACCUGACACAGAGCAGGUGUUAUCAACAUUUGCUAAGUGAAAUCGUGCAAGCGGGAUUCAGUACUAAAGCUUGUCUGCAGUGGGGGAGAGAAUGCAAGAUGGGAUUACAGAGUUAGCUAUGAUGCUUCCUGCAAUGUUCUUCUUCAGCAAGGUUUCUGCUGAUGUCCUAUGCUCACACGCCCGUUCAAAAUACAAUGAGCAACCAGGUAUUGUGGCACAUUCCUGUAAUUCAAGCACUUGGGAAGCUGAGGCAAAAGGAUCACCACAAGUUUAGAGGCCAGCCUGUGCUACAUAGAAAUUCAAGGCCAAUCUGAACUACAUAGACUACGUGUCUCAAAAAAAAAAAAAAAAAAAAAAAAACCCUAUUUAUUUUACCCUUGACAUUGAUGAUGUCAACAUCUGCCCCAAGUUAGACCAUCAGCUAGACGAGGUCAAAAGUUAUGGGCUUGGGGCUGGGGAUUUAGCUUAGCGGCAUAAGCGCCUGCCUUGCAAGCAGGCAGUCAUGAGUUCGAUCCCUGGUACCAAUAAAAAGGAAAAAGACAAAAAAAAAAAGAAAACAAAAUUUAAAAGUUAUGGGCUUAGUUGGGGUUUUAGCUUGGCGGCAUAAGUGCCUGCCUUGCAAGCACGCAGUCUUGAGUUCGAUCCUUGGUAUAAACAAAAAAAAGUUAUUGGCUUAGUCCCUGCCCUGCCCUCUGUCAUAGUGGUAGAGGGGCUCCCGUAGCUCUCAGAAAGCAGUAACAGCAUGGGACACCUUCAGUUGCCACUGAUAACCUCCACACGUGCAAGCCCUGGGAACUCAGAAACCAGUGAGAGACAAUCUCUGCAUCCAUGGCUGGAUGACAGGUGACAGCAAGCCAGUGCAAUGGGUGCCUUAAAAAAAAAAAAAAAAAAAAAACCUGCAAUCCUGUUGGGGUGGAAAGAAAGAGCUUAUCUCAAGACUGGCACAAGCUAGAGGAGAAAUUAUUUCCCAACCUAACAAGAGUGUAAAAUAAACAUUCAAGAAUUGGUAACUUACUUAGGCACCAGUAAUAAUCCCAUUCACAAGCUAUAAAGAUACACCGUCUGGAAAUAAGCUUGAAAUAUAUAGGUCUUGGGCCAGGAAUAUAGCUCAGUGGUACAGUGCCUGCUUGGCAAGCAUGAGGUCAUGAGUUUGAUUCCUUAUACCUAAAAAAAAAAUACAUAUAUAUGACUUAUAUAAAGAAAACCACAAAACUCUUAUCAAGGAGCAUAAGGCUUUAAAGCAGUGAUAAUGGAAGCCUCCCUUAGAAAGCUUACCCUAUAACAUGGAUAGUAAUUACCUAAAAAUUUCCCACCCAGGUAAACGUCUUCUCAGUGAAGAUCUCAGUAAAUUUCAUUGCCAAAAUGUUCCUAAAAUUCAGUUGGAGAAACAGGUGCAUCUUUAUCAUUACAAACCAAUCAUUACUGACAAUUCACUAUGUGUCAGGCCACAUCAAGAAUUUGCUACACAUAUCUCAUCUUUACAAAAACACCAUGGGGCCAGGUGUGAUGGUGCACAUCUGUAGUCCUAACACUUGGAAAGCUGAGGCAGGAGGAUCAUCACAAGUUCAAGGCCAGCAUGGGCUACAUAGUGAGUUCAAGGCUAGCCUACACUAUAUAGCGAGGCUGUGUCUCAAAAAACAAAACAAAACAAAAAAUCAUGGGGGAAAUACUAUUAUUAGUAACAUUAUAUAGAUAAGAAAAACUAAUUUGCUUAAAGUCCCAUAGUUAGGAAAUGGUCAAAUGGAUUAAACAGACUGGCUAAGAUUUGUGAACUUAAGCAUUCUGUUAUACUGCCAAAAAAAGUAUGAAGAUUAAUGAGCUGGGGUUUGUUCUACCAGAUACUAAAAUAAACUAGGUAGCUACAAUAGCUAAAACAGUGCAAUUUUGAUUUAAAAAAAAAAGACCUAUUAAACUAAGCACCACAGAUAAAGAGCCAGCUGUCUAAGGAACUGUAAUACAUGAUAAAUGUGGUAAUUCAAAUUGGUAGAGAAAAGGUAGAAGUCAAUAAGCAGAAGGGACUUAACCAUAGAUUAACAUUGGGAAAAUGAAGCUGGAACACCAUGCAUUAAAUAAAUUCCAGGGGGCUGGGGAUUUAGCUCAGCAGUAUAAGCACCUGCCUUGCAGGCAGGUGGUCGUAAGUUCAAUCCUUGGUACCGAUAAAAAUGAAAAAGACAAAAAUAAAUAAAUAAAUAAAAAAUAAAUUCCACCUAGUUCAGAGUUUUAUAAUGCUGGAACUAAAAGUCUUUCAUAAUAUGAUGAUAAGUUUAAAGAAAUGAAAGCUAUCAAGAAAGCUGGGUGAGGUGAUAUACAACUGUAAUCCUAGCUUCUCAGAAACAGGCAGGAAGAUCACAAGUCCGAGGCCACCUGGGCAACUUAAUGACAACCUUCUCAAAAUGGGUUGGGGAGGUAGUUCAAUGAUGGGGUACUUAACCUAGAAUGCACAAAAUCCUGGGUUCCAUCCAGAACUCAUAAAGUAAAUCAGAUGUGACUACCUAAAAUUAAAGUUUGCACUGGGGAUUUAGAUUUAGCUCAGUGGCAUAAGUGCUUACUUUGCAAGUGUGAGGUCAUGAGUUCGAUCCCCAGUACCAAAAAACAAAAACAAUAAAAGUUUGCAUGUGACAACAAUAUACAAAACACAUGAUUAAAGAUAAGUGAGGGAAAAAAAAGGUAAGUGAAGAAAAAGGUAAGUGAAAAAAAAGGUAAGUGAGGGAAAAGAUUUGUCACAACAUGUAGGAUAAAGGUUAAGAUUCUUAAUAAAGUAGGUGUCUGGGUUAUGUUCUGUGCUGGUACUGGAGACUGCACCCAGGGCUUUGACAGUGAGCUACAUCUCCACUAUAUUGUCAAGACAGGACUCAAAUUUACAGUCCUGCCACAGCUCUUGAGAGUGUUGGAAUUACCAGUGUGGGCCACCAAGUAGGAGUAGGAAACACCUGAAAACAGUCAAAUAACAAUGUCCUAAGGAUGCCAGUAGGAAAAAAAAAAAAAAGGAAAUACUUAAAAAGAUUUCCAACUCAUUAGUAAUCUUAGAACUGCAGGCAAAAUCAAAGUUGAUAACACUAUUUUUCAAUAGAUCAGACCAGCACAGGGCUAAAUCUUGAAAUUCUCAGCAUUUCAAAGUGUAAGUCAAGCUAGAGGUGGCUUGCUUUAGGGCAUUUGUUAGAGUCAAAAUUGUGCAUAGAGUCUAAGGAGACAAUGUUUGUUGAAAGGAAAUGGGUCUUCCCUGAUCCAGACUCAACAAACUGCAGAGAGCCUCUUCUAUAAGACUGACCCAGGAUAAAAUAAUUGGCAGAAUUUACUAUUAGCAAGGAUACAGAGAAAAAUGGGCACAACUUACUAUUGGUUGGUGUACAAAUUCAUACAGUUGGUUUGGGAACCAGUUGGUAUGGUGAUAUGUAACAAAAUUACAGGUGUUCUAUAUUAGUAUUUGAACACAAGUUGGGUGACCCAAGAAAAUUAAAAUGGAAAAGACUUCGAUUGUAUAAUUCACUUAAAAGGAUUUAUUCCAAGGAAGAAAUUAAACAAGUGACUAGUUAUCUGUUUCCAAGGUUGCUGAUACAGGACUGUAAAAAACAGUAAAACAUCUGGAAAUGACUUCAUUGACCAUCAGGAGUGUUAAAUAAACCAGGCAUGGUGGCACACAAUUGUAAUCCCAGAGGAAGGAUCGUAAAUUUAAUGCAGCCUAGGUAACUUAGCAACUUAGACCCUGUUUCAAAAUUUAAAAUAAUAAUAGUAAUUUCUAAAAGGCUAGGAUGCAGCUCAGUGGGAAGGCCCUGAGUUCAAUCCCCAGUACUAUUUAAAAAAAAAAAGUGUUAAGUGAAUUUUGGUACAACACCCUAUUAGGCAGCCAUUAAAGUUAUGUUUUGAGUGAAAAUUACAUAUGUACUAUAACCUGUGUACAUUAUAUUGCUUUUUUGUUUUGAGUUUAGUGCUGAAUGCAGAACCCAUGGUCUCGCACAUCCUAAGCAUAUGCUCCACCACUGAUCCACACUAUCAGUCCCAUGUGUGUUACAAAGGUCAGGCUAAAAGAGUGUGCACAGAGACAUCUGUAAGAUUACUAGCAGCAGCAGGGCAUGGUGAUGCAUGCCUAUAUUUCCAGCACUCUGGAGGCUGAAGCAGGAGGAUUACUAUGAGUUCAAAGCCAGUCUAGGCUACAUAGUGUGUUUGAAGCCAGCCUGAACUGCACAGUAAGACCUUGUCUCAAAAAAAUUAAAUAAAUAAAAACUAAAAAAAAUUACCAUCAGCUCCAAGAAAUGGAGUUUCCUGUGAUUUGCAUAUGUACUGCAAAAGCAAGCACUUUCCUGAGAUUUGUAACUACUUCAUUAAAUAUAUAGAAUAGUCAAUAAAAUUUGGGAUUUGCAAAUAGCACUUAACAUCUGCUAUUCAGCAUAGAAAUUCAUAUUAUGCCCUACCCCAACUGUACGUAUAAGGGAGAUACUCAUUUAUUUUAUAGAUGUGGAGACAACCCAAGACUCAGGUUUAGCAGUUUACUCUGGGUUUAUCAGGACUGAACACAAUUCUGGCUGACACUCUUUUCACAGUGCUGCACGGCUACUAAUAUGGUUACUAAUAUUUAAUAAUAUAUACCUGAUUCAGGGCCAGGGAUUUAGCUCAGUGGCGUAAGUUCCUGCCUAGCAGGGACAAGGUCAUGAGUUCAAUCCCCAGUAUAAAUAAAUAAAUAUAUACAUACAUAAAUAAAUACCCUCCUGUGUGCCUAAUAAGCACUAGAAACUGCAGGGUCAGUGUUAACCUGCCCAGGAAGGUGCAGUAACUUGCUGCUGGUAAGGUUAAACUAUCUGGCUCCAAAACCUCUCUACUCCACUUGCUACCUUUUCUGCUGACCUAGCAGUGUACUUUGUUCACCCUGAGAUGUCUUUUGCCCUAAGGUCUUUGCUCCUCAACCUGGCCAUUUUGCAGCUUUUUAGGUUUUGCUUGUUUAAAACCUUGCAUGGGCAAAGUAAGCACUCUCCCACAAAGCUACAUCAGGACUUCAAUUGCUCAGGCUGGCCUCAAAUUUGCCAUCCUGCCUCAGCCUUCCAAAUAGCUGGUACUACCGCCAAUGUGUCUCCACACCUGGCUUUCUUUUAGUCUGAUUGCAGUCUUUAAACACAUUAUGCAGGCUGUUGUGGCUUUCCUUGUGGUAGCCCACUCUGCUUUCUUCAGGGUGUUCUUUUACUGUUUUUCUCUUUUUACUAGGCCCAAACUCUGCAGAGCCAGUUUCUCUCACUCGUUUUUGUUUUGUUUUUCUCCUUUACUCUUCACUUUUUCAAAUAAACUUGGCCACUGGAUUAAAAAACAACAAUAACAACAAAAACACAUUGUGCAUCUAACCCUAAGGCAAAUGUUUACUUUUAUCCUGCAGUGUUUGAAGAAAAAUGCUAUAAAGAUCAGCCAUUUUUCUCACCCAGCUCAGAUACCUCCAGGGUGGUCUAGCUCUCAAGAACCUGGCCACAGGGUUACCAGAAUGCUCUGCAGCCCUCCACACUCUCCUGCCCACACUCCUCCAGAGCCUCAGCCUCCCUAGCCCUCAGGAAAGCCAACUCCUGACACUUGGGGCACCCUUAAAUGGUAGCUGAAGUGAGAGAGGAAAAUUCUGUUACACAAGAGUCAAAGAUUUCAGCCAGGCAACCAGAAACUGCCCUUGAGCAAAAGUGAGGUAAGGCAAUAGGCUGUGUCUGCUGCGGGGUCCUUAUCCCUCACUGCUGCCAUGGAUAGCAUAGCCAGGCACUGCUCUACACAUGUGCUUUCUUAUGUCUUUGUUUGCUUUUGCUUUUUGAUGCUGCUAAAGAUUUCACCCAAGGCUUUGCACAUGCUAACAAAGUAAAUACUCUCUAGCACUGAGCCCCUAGGUUUAUUUUUACUUACUAUAAUUACUGUAAAUAUUACUUACUUUCCGUGUUGCUCUGCUAAUUCCAUACCAGCUCCAGGAGGGCAGAGGUUUUUACCUGUUGUGUUCAAACAGUGCUUUGCACACAGUAGAUAUCACAUAGGUCACUAAAGGAGUCUGGUACUCUCAUGCUUAGCCAUACAAUACGUUUUGUGCAUUCUUCUCCCCCAUUAAAAAAAUUAACAAUAUAGUAGGAUAUGGUGCCAUAUGGCUACAGUCUUAGCUUUUUGGAGGAAGAAGCCAGAGAAUCUCUUGAGCCCAUGCAUUUAGAGCCAGCCUGAAAAAUAUCAAGGCCCUCUCUCAAAAAUAAAAUAAAAUUUAUGGGGCUGAGGAUUUAGCUCAGUGGCAUAGUGCCUGCCUGGCAAGUGUGAGGUCAUGAGUUCGAUCCUCGGUACCAAAAAAUAAAAUAAAAUUUAAAGAAAUAAUAAAGUGGUUACUAAAUUCUCCACAGAGCCCCAUGAAGAAUGAUUUUUUUAUCCCCACUUUACAGAUGGCAACUUGAGGUUUAGAGGGACAAAUGACUUUUGCAAAGGUACAGAUCCAACAAAAGGCACAACAAAGCCUAGAAAUAAGUCAGUGGUCUCUGCAGAACCUUUGCAACAGCCUGGAUUCAGAAAUACUGUACCCAUCCUUGGCCCUGCCUCUGGGAGCCACCGCCUGCCUGCAGGACUCCUUAAGUGACUAAUACUGAGAAUAUCACAGCAAUGAACAUUCACUGAGCACUUGUUACAUACUAAGCAUUCUUCCCAGUGCUUCAUGUUUUGACUCAGGAGCACUUGGUGUGAUCCAUUUUUGACAGAUAAAGAAUCUGAGGCCCUAGUGCCGUUAAACAACAUGGCCAAAACUGCAACACUAAUAAAUGAUUGAGCUUCUCUUUCCCAAGCCAGCAGUCUGAGUCCAGCACCCAAGCCCUUCACCACUGUCCACGCUGCCUUACUAGUACAACAGGUUGCUGCCCUGUUCUCAAGUGGUGAGCCAAGAGUCAGGAAGGGUGAAGGAUGGCUCUUUUAGGCACUCCAUUGAGUUCCCUUUUCAUGUUAUCUUGUAAAACCUCCCGAUCACCUGUGAGGUUACAGAUGGACAAGUGGGUUCUGAGCCCCUGAGGGCGACAAAGUAGACAGGAAAAACAGAAAGUAGAUCAGUGGCUAGUUAGGGCCGUGGGCUUGAGAGGAAAUGGGGAGUGGUUAUAGCAUGUAGUUACUUUGGGGGAUGCAGAAAAUGUUUUAAAGUUGGCGGUGGUGAUGGCUGCACAAUAAUGAAUACACUAUAAAACACUGAAUUGUAUGCCUUAUAUGGGUGUUACAGUUAAGUAAGUGAAUUACUUCUCCAUAAAGCUGUGUGGGGUUGGCUUUUGUUUUUGUCUUGUGCUGGAGAUCAAUCCCAGGUUUGUGCUCGUGCCUCUAUCACUGACCUACAGCUCAGCCCUGUUUUGAUUUGUAAAAUAGAGGCUACAAGGAAGGAGUGGCAGAAGUGGAAUUUCAGUAAGCUUCACAUUAAAAGCCUUGAAACUGCUGUUAGGUCUUCUUUUGCUCUUACCUCUCACAUCCAGUUACCAGCAAACAGAAUGUACCCUAAGGCUUGUUCUCACUUCUCUUCCUCACAGCCUUCCAGUUACCUGGCUCGCACCUUGCUGUCUGUGGUCUGACACCACAGAACAGCCAGAGGGAUCCCUGUAAAGCAUUCCUGGCAGACAGUGUCCCUCUUCUGCUCAAAAGCUUUCACUGGCCUAAGAACACAAUUCCCUGCUAACUCACAUCUGGAGCUCCCCACUUGCCACCCCAGCCCCGUGCCGCCCCCUCACUCUCCUGCCUCAGACCUCUGCACUCUGCCCAGCCUGCCCCCUCAUUUACUGGACUCUGCCCCAGGGAUGCCUUCCUUGACCUCCCAGCCUCGCCUAGCCGUUCCCUCAGCAGGGCCCUCUGUAACCUCUGACCUGACAUGUUUCUCUUCAGAGUACUUCUAACUCCUUGCCAUGGUAAGGAGCAUUUUAUUAACCCCAUGCCUUCACCACCAAAUGUGAGGCUGCCUGGGGCAAGGUCUUUGAUGUGGCAUAACUGCACAGGAGCUUGAGGCAGGGUAUCUCACAUUUGAGACCAGGCUGGAAAACUUAGUGAAACCUUGUUUCACUAAGUUUUUUAAAAAAUUAAAUGAAGUAAAUAAAAGGGCUUAAAAUGUGGCUCAGUAGUACAGUGCCCCUGGGCUUAAUCCUUAGUGUGUGUGUGCUUGGGGGGGCGGGGCAGGGGAUAAGUGGAUCUGAGGCCAAACCCCAGUUCUCCUCACUGCCCCUGGGAAAAUCUAGCAGGGAGGCUCAUCACUGUUCAACAUGCUUUUUCUGAAAACAGGGAUCUCCUUUGUGCCAUAGUAGUGCCUCUCCUCCCCUUGAAUUUUCUUCUUUGUGAAGAGUAAUAAUUUCUUACAAGAUUGUGGCUUGGGAAGGACAGGAUCCACAGCUGUGGUCCAUGAUUCACACUCACGUGCAGCAUAUAGAAAUUUUUGUUUGCCUGCAUAAGGAAGAUGAACUUCAAACCUAGUGGCAGAAGUUUAAUCUUUCUGCUCCCAGAUAUUACCCACUGCCCUGAAAAUACCUAGGCCCCAUUUCCAAGGCCCUCAGACCUUACAGUCAAACUGAAGUGCUCCGGUGAAUUUCCUGGUUACUGGGCUAUGUUGAGAAAGCUCCUAGCACAAUAGGAUUUGCCAGUAAGCCUAGAAAACCUAUGUGAACAGAAGGCAAACUUGUAGCACACACUUACUGAAAUCACUUUCUGUUAUCUCAGAAAUCAUAGCAGGCAGGCAGGCUCAAACAGGCACAGGAAGAAAGCUGAAGUAUAAAUAGGCUGGGCUUCACCCUAUCGCAAGCCCUGCAGGGCUUUUCCCCAUUUACAGGACAAGACACUUGCCUGGCUGCCUUUCAUUCUCCACUCCUUGCUGGUUUCCCAGGCACCAGACAGGCUCCAUGCCUCCAUUUAGGUGGCUCCUUUGGUCUGGCAUGUGCUUCCCUUCUGCCAAGGUGGGUGAGACCUACUCACUCUGAUGCCUCCUCUUCAGGCACACUGUUCCUUCCUCUAACGUCCCUUGCUUCUGAGCUGUAGGUGUCAGCAACUAUUCAACCACCCAACUCUUCUUUGCUUAUUUCCUUUCUGUUAUUUUGAGGUGAGGUCUCACUAUGCAUUUCAGGCUGGCCUUGAACUUGGCAGCAGUCUUCCUUUCUCAGCCUUCUCAGUGGUGGGGAUGUGCCACCAUACCUGGCAUUUAUUUUCUAUAUUCCUUGCAGUACUCAGUGCUCAGAAAUCAAACCUAGGGAUUCACACAUGCUGGGCAAGUGCUCUAGCCCAUCCUCAGCCCCAGCAUCUAAUUCUUCUGAACAUCAGGUUUAGGGAAGACAAUAGAUCAUGCUCUCAAGGAACUUAGCAAAGAAAUCCAUAAUUGCAAGUUGGGGAAAAUGCUAAGAAAGAAACAAGUCUAAUAAAGAUCAUUCAGUGUAUGUAUGUGUGGAUGUGUGGGGGAGAGCAGAACAGAGACUGGCAAGGAUUCUCUGAGGAGAGGGUAUUAAGCUGACUGGUAAGAACGACCCAAGCAGAAAGUGGAGAGAAAGUGUAGCAGGCAGAGGACGGAGCACUGACAAGAUGCUGGGCAGGAAAGCAUUCAGCAUAACCCAGGAAACAGACGGACGGUUGUGGGAGCAAGGGAAAGAAGCCGCCUUCUCAGGGGUGCUGAGCUCACGGUCUCCGUCUCAUGUGUUUCUGCCUCUCCUCUUCUCGCGGGGCCCACACUGCAUUUCCCUCCUUUCCCUGUGUCCAGUGCAGACCAAGAGCCCUGGUGCACGGGAUGCAUCCGACAAGCAUCUGGGAGCCACAGAUCCCAGAGAGGCUGUAAGCAGCCGUCUGUCCACUCUGCCCCCACAGCAAGACUCCAGUUGGCUCACCUAACUGAAGCACCCGGCAAGCGGUUAACCACAACACUAGAGAUAGAAACCGGGGAUGAAACAGGGACAGCUGCAAGUGCUACAGUUAUGUUGUGACAAAUACCACUGUCAGUCCGAUUGGCAGAUGUGACCACCACAUGGUCCUUGGAGGCCAGAGUCUCAGAGUGAACGUUCAGUCAGACGGUGCCUCUCAUCUCAAAGGUUCUGCCAAAAUCAGCCUCAAGAUUAAAUAAUCAGUUUCAAGUUCAAAAUACAGUUUCCAAGAUUUAGCAGUUUCCCAAUUAAAAAAAAAAAAUCCAAGGGAUGAAUAGGGCAUCAAUUCUUGCAAGCAGGCAGUCGUGAGUUCAAUCCCUGGUACCGAUAAAAAGGAAAAAGACAAAAAAAAAAAAAAAAAAAGUGAGGGCUAGGGGCUAGAGAUUUAGCUCACUGGUGCAAGUGCCUGCCUGGCAAGUACGAGGACAUGAGUUUGAUCCCCAGUAGCAAAAAAAAAAAAAAAAUGAGGGCUGGGCAUGGUGGGGCACACCUAUAAUCUUAGCACUCAGGAGGCUGAGGUAAGAAGGUCAUUGCAAGUUUGAGACCAGCUUGGGCUACAAGUUCAAGACCAGUCCAAACUGACUCUGUCUCAAAAGACAAAAAAAAAAAAAAAAAAAAAAAAAAAAAAAAAAAAGUUUUUGAGAAGGUAUCACUAUGUAAGGCUGACCUCAAACUACAAUAGCCUAGAGUGACCUCAAACUUAGCCUUCUGAAUGCUGGAAUUAUAGGCCUGUCGGGCAAGACAUGGACAUAUUUUAAAAUACAAUGUGUAAGUUUAAAUUUUAAGAGUAAAACAGGCAAAAAAAUUUCUUGCCUCUUUCCUGGGCCUGAGUAUCUCAGAAGCCACAGUGGAAAAAUGUGAACAGCACUUGUUACUAUCUCCCCUCACCCACAUUCUUUUUUUGAGGUGCCAGAGAUCAAACCCAGGGCCUCACACAUUCUAGGCAAAUACUCUACCACUAAGUCAUAACCCCCAGCCCAUCUCGCUUCAUUUUAUGUCUUCCAUCCUUGCUGCUAUAUAUUUUAAAUGCCAGUACUGCAAUUCAACAUUUUUCAUUUCUACCUUCUUUUAACAAAAUAAAAUAAUACAUUUAAAGAAAAUAGUGUGUGUCAGCUCCAGGCAUCAGUUAUUUUAAAAAAUCUCAGCCAUUUAUGAGGACACUUUUUUGUAGGUACAAUAAAUCUGAUUGCAUUUUAUUACACAUCUUAGUUUAGAAUCACUUUUACAUUCCUAGACAAAGAGAUGAUACAAAUAAAUAUCAAUUGCAAAACUCAGAGCCCCAAGUAUUGGCAUAUUCUUUGUCUAAAAGUAGCCAAAGAGAAGGUCAAGAUCAAUAGUAACUCCAAGGAGCCAUACAGCACACUGCCUUGUGCCCUUGUGGGGCCACUUCUUUCAUAAAUAACCUUGAACGUUUCAUUCAAGAGACAAGAGCAGGGAAAAA